rnacentral:rRNA from 1 species
GAUGAACGCUGGCGGCGUGCCUAAUACAUGCAAGUCGAGCGAACGGACGAGAAGCUUGCUUCUCUGAUGUUAGCGGCGGACGGGUGAGUAACACGUGGAUAACCUACCUAUAAGACUGGGAUAACUUCGGGAAACCGGAGCUAAUACCGGAUAAUAUUUUGAACCGCAUGGUUCAAAAGUGAAAGACGGUCUUGCUGUCACUUAUAGAUGGAUCCGCGCUGCAUUAGCUAGUUGGUAAGGUAACGGCUUACCAAGGCAACGAUGCAUAGCCGACCUGUGAGGGGGAUCGGCCACACUGGAACUGGGACGCGGUCCAGACUCCUACGGGAGGCAGCAGUAGGGAAUCUUCCGCAAUGGGCGAAAGCCUGACGGAGCGACGCCGCGUGAGUGAUGAAGGUCUUCGGAUCGUAAAACUCUGUUAUUAGUGGAGAACAUAUGUGUAAGUAACUGUGCACAUCUUGACGGUACCGAAUCAGAAAGCCCCGGCUAACUACGUG